ACAUCUGUAGAAUGUUGUUCCAGGGAUAUAAAGUGGAAAGGACAAUAGUCCUUGGUUGAACGCAUCAAAAAUUUUCCACAGAUCCCCAGAUAAUACCGACGCCACGUAACCGAUCAUCCAUUUGGCAGCAAUACCAAAUAUCAUCUGCACACAGAUAGUGUGUGUGUGUGUAAGUUUUCACACACGAGUUGUUCAAAAUUUUUCAUUAAUCCUAUACGGACAUUAUAAAUUCGUUCUCCGCAUCAAAAGUACUUGGAUCAGCGCAAUCUGUAUUGACCAGUCUUCCCAUCACUCGAACUGUGGCUACAUGUAAGUGAAUGUGUGUUUUCAACUUUACAUGACUGUUAUUAAACUAACCCUUUUCGUACGAUGUAUUCGUGAGUAAGGUAUUCCAGUUGUUAUUCCCAAAAUAGGUGCAAGUUAUGAUUCUGGUAUUUGGGAUCCUGACAAUGCUACCGAUGCUCCAGAAGAAGAAGAUUUGGAUUGUAGACAACCUGAUGAGUGCGACCAGGCAACUUAUGUAGAUGACAAUGCUAGGGUAGUCCUAGGGGUGGUAAAGGGCUUUGAAAUUUGGCCUAGAGAAUCUAUGGGCCGAGCUCUAAUCCCAUAUAAUUUUGACCUAAAAUAUUUAAGAGCCAUGUUGGGCUGUGAAGAUGACACUAGCGCCAUGGCCCAUUACCACCCCUAGGUAUUCCAUGAAUGAGGUACAAAACAUUUACAUCGGGAUGAUGGGGUAUAUGCAUCUUUAAUUCAGUAUCAUUUUGUU